AGACAAACACUAUAAAAUGUUGUUUUCAUGCCAUGCCUGUUAAUGCUGAACACAAUUUCUUUCUGCUCUAGGAUCAUCAAAUAAUAAAACCUACCAUCUUAUCGAGCAGAAACUGUCAUGGGAGCCAUCUAAGAGUUACUGCCGUACUCAUUACACUGACCUCGCCAUGAUAGAGAAUGAAGAAGAGAACCAAAAGGUUUUGUCCAACAUCACUACUCCUGUGUGGAUUGGUCUUUACAGAGUUCCCUGGACGUUUUCUGAUGGGACCAACAGCUCCUUCAGAACCUGGUGGAGAAAUGAGCCCAAUAAUAUUAACAAUAAUCAGUUAUGUGCCGGGGUGUAUGACGGUGGAUUUCACGACGGUGAAUGCACUGCAACGUUGCCUUUUAUCUGCUCAGGUCGGAAAUACAGCAGAAUAAAGAUAAUGAUCGAGUCUAACUUGGACCUGACAAACCAAAACACUAAGGAUAACAUCCGUCUACAACUGUCUGCAUCUCUGACCAGAGCCGGGAGGACUGACUUCAACCUGAGCUGGAGCGCUCCACCAGAAAAACUAGAUCCAGCAGGCUUGAAUGAUGACAACCAAUAAUGAUUACAUGAAUUAUGAAUACAUGCAGGACAUUAGUGUAGGGGAGAGUGGGGUAAGAUGAGCCAGUGGUUAAGUGGACCCACCCCCUAUAUUUAGGCACCUGUACACACAAUUGUAAUUUGGCCAUCAAUUCAGGAAGCACCCAUCAUGCACCCGUAUGUCUGGCUGUGAUGGAGAGAAACCCAUGGUCAAGUUGCAAGUAUGUUUUUUUUCACAAUAAACUUUUUUUUCUUGUCAAAGUAAAUUUUUAAUAUAGCAGGUAAUGACUGCUAUGUCAAAGCAAUUUUAUCCAAUUUUAUGCGUACAAAUAUAGAUUAUAAAUGUUGGUGAUUUGCCAAGGUAUAAAGCAAUGGGAAUAAUUAGCUAAAGAUUGGCCUGAAUUGUUAAACUAGGCAGUUUCCAAAAUUGUGGGUGUGGGACAACGUAAGCCACAUGCUGUGGGCAAAGUUGAGUCGUUCAACUUACCCCACCACAAUGCACUGAAGUUAAGUUACGUCUUUAAAGUAUAAAGCGGUAAUCUAAUGUAGUAUCACACAACUGACUUGGUUUUUCAUAUUUAAAAAUGGUAGAAAUUAUGCCAAGAAAGAGAGAAAGGAGCUGGAGAGAGCAGCGCAUAUUAUGAAACAUAAUGUUUAUAGGAGGAGUUGAAGUUAAGAUAAAAGAGGAUGCUUUCUUGCUGUAUGUCAGGUGUUCAAUGUACCAGUUCCAUUUAUCGUCAUUUGUUGAACCUUUAGUAGACCUUACCUUGUUGAAUUCUCUUCUUGUUUGUGCUCAUGAUUUGAGAGUUUAUUCCUUACGUUAAAACAAGUAAUACUUUACUAUAAGAACAAUGUGUGUUGAAGAUCUGAAGACAUGGCCCAUCGCAAGAUCAUCUCCAACGUUAAACGAGUAGUUAUAUCAAUAUAUA